rnacentral:tRNA from 1 species
GGCCCCAUCGUCUAGCGGUUAGGACACCAGGUUUUCAUCCUGGCAACGGGGGUUCGACUCCCCCUGGGGUCACCA